ensembl:lncRNA
UGUCUCCCGUUUUUGUACCUCAAACAUGCUGCAGUUCCUCAUGCAAUGACUCUUUUGUGUUCUGUCUUCGUCUUCCAGUCGAGAGAACAACAGCCGAAUGCUCCUGCCCAUGCAUCACCUGAUUCCUCUGUCCAAUCAAUAGCUGCCAUCUCAGGGCCCACAGAGGGUUUUCGUCGAGCUUCAAUUCAGUUGAGAGAACUACUGCCGACUGCUCCUGCCCACGUAUCACCUGAUUCCGUCCAGGCAUCAACUGCCAGCUAUGGGGCCACAGAGGGUUUUCGUCGAGCUUCAAUUCGCAGAAUUAAUGUGGUCGAAGAUGUUCUGUCUGUGUUUAUGGACAGUAGUAUCAUUUCUUUGUUUUUGAAGAUGGAUUUUGUUAAUGAAAAUGCUGUUGAUGAUUCAGGGGUUUCGCGGGAGGUGUACACUGCAUUUUGGGAGAUGUUUCUUCAGCAGUGUGAUGGGGAAACUGAGAGGGUCCCAAGGCUGAGGCCUGAUUUCUGUCAUGGUGAAUGGCAAGCGGUUGGACGUGUGUGGGUGAAGGGGUUACUAGAUCUUGGUCUACUUCCAGUGAUGCUUUCAAAGGCCUUCAUGGUAGCGUGCAUCCAUGGUAUGGAUUCGGUAGAUGUAGACCUGCUCAUUAUGUCCUUUCUCAACUACUUGCCUCCAGUCGAGAGGGCAGCUGUGGAAAGGGCUCUUGAGGGGAGGAUGGAGGAAGACGAUGAAGAUGAUUUGCUUGAGCUUUUUUCACGAAUGGGCUCACAUUCUCUUCCACCAAACGAUAAUAUGAGAACAGCCAUUGAAUCCAUGGCUCACAAAGCCAUUCUGCAGGAGCCUAAAUUUGUCAGAGAUAGCUUCAGUACAGUUAUCUUGGUUGUACAGCAAAACCUUCCUGACAAAGAAAGUGUGUUGGCUCUUUACGAGUCCAAAAAGGCCACAGGCAAACGAGUAGUGCAGUUGUUGGACACAACAAAUGUUGUCCUUAGUCGGAGAGAACAGAAUGUGUUCAGUUAUCUCCAACGUUACAUUAAAAAUGCCGACCAAACAAAGGCGGAGAAAUUCCUACGCUUCUGCACAGGGUCCAGUGUCAUAUGUGUAGAUAAAGUGAUGGUAUCCUUUAAUGCUGAAACUGGACUUGGGAGAAGGCCAAUUGGGCACACGUGUGGUGCUACUCUUGAGGUUCCUUGCACAUAUAGCUCUUUCCCUGAAUUCAGGACAGAGCUUGAUAACGUCCUCUCAAGCAAUUACUUCGAGAUGGAUAUAAUCUAAAAGUCUUAUCUAAAUUUUUAUUUUGUCAUUUGUGAGUUAUUUUCUGUUCUCUAAAAUACCUGUUCUUGCUGGUAAAAUGCUUACAUAAUGACAUUCUUUCUGUUGAAAUGUUAGUUUGUAUGUCCAUAGUCCAUAUCUAUUUUUGUAUUACCAGCAUGACUAUACGGCAGCCAAAUUUGUAUUUCUUCACCUUUAAAUGGAAAUCAUAGUAAUGAUUGAUUUAAUAAGAAAAAGUGCAGUAGUUUAAGGCCUACACAACCUCCAAGGCUGAGAUAAGAUGAAGUUGAUUGGCUAUGUGGGACAUAUCACUGAGAUUUCAACAGAAACCAUGGCAAAUUAUGUGUGGGUGUGUGAUGUGGUUACCAUACCAAACUUUGGGUGAUGCAUGUGUUCCAUUUACUCAAAAUACAAAAAUGUGCAUUUUUUUGUGCAUAUUUCCAUAGACCUUUUUGAGCAACUCAGUCAAAUUAGUUCAAAAAUGUAAAACCUUUUUUAAGUUGCUGUUUUCAAAAGGGGCUUGUUUGAUGCAAGGACUGCACUUUCACAAGGUUAUGUGAACAAAUGUGAUCAAGCACUUUUUGUAACUUUAAUUAUGCUCGACAAUCUUUUGUGUCUAGCCCAUUAUAUACAUUUAUUCAGAGGUACUCGUUUCCUUAGAAGUUGAGAUCACCCCACACUAUUGUUUUCUUUUUCAUUUUUGGAAGAACUGUACAUUAAAGUGAGCAAGCAUUUUUCAGAUCCUGCUUUGUGUAUGAAAGUGUCUGCUGAAUUUCUUCCACUCCAUGUUCUAUUCAAUUGUAUACCUUCAAUUGCUAUCUCUAACAAAAACCAAACCAACAAAGCCAAAAAGUAGUUUAACCCUG